UACAGAGGGUGCGAGCGUUAAUCGGAAUUACUGGGCGUAAAGCGUGCGUAGACGGCUAUCUAAGUCGGGUGUGAAAGCCCCGGGCUCAACCCGGGAACUGCGUCCGAUACUGGCAGGCUUGAAUCCGGGAGAGGGAUGCGGAAUUCCAGGUGUAGCGGUGAAAUGCGUAGAUAUCUGGAGGAACACCGGUGGCGAAGGCGGCAUCCUGGACCGGCAUUGACGCUGAGGCGCGAAAGCCAGGGGAGCAAACGGG
rnacentral:rRNA from 1 species